AGAGCGAACGCUGGCGGCAGGCCUAACACAUGCAAGUCGAGCGCCCCGCAAGGGGAGCGGCAGACGGGAGAGUAACACGUGGGAACGUACCCUUCAGUUCGGAACAACCCAGGGAAACUUGGGCUAAUACCGAAUACGUCCGUAAGGAGAAAGAUUUAUCGCUGAAGGAUCGGCCCGCGUCUGAUUAGCUUGUUGGUGAGGUAAUGGCUCACCAAGGCGACGAUCGGUAGCUGGUCUGAGAGGACGAUCAGCCACACUGGGAUUGAGAACGGCCCAGACUCCUACGGGGGGCAGCAGUGAGGAAUUUUCCGCAAUGGGCGCAAGCCUGACGGAGCAACGCCGCGUGCAGGAAGACGGUUUUCGGAUCGUAAACUGCUUUUCUCGGGGACGAGAACGGACGGUACCCGAGGAAUCAGCCCCGGCUAACUACGUGCCAGCAGCCGC
rnacentral:rRNA from 1 species